rnacentral:rRNA from 1 species
UACGGGGGGGGGCAAGCGUUGUUCGGAAUUACUGGGCGUAAAGGGCUCGUAGGCGGCCAACUAAGUCAGACGUGAAAUCCCUCGGCUUAACCGGGGAACUGCAUCUGAUACUGGAUGGCUUGAGUUCGGGAGAGGGAUGCGGAAUUCCAGGUGUAGCGGUGAAAUGCGUAGAUAUCUGGAGGAACACCGGUGGCGAAGGCGGCAUCCUGGACCAACACUGACACUGAGGAGCGAAAGCCAGGGGAGCAAACGGG